AACUUUCAGUUUAGCCCUCAGAACCUGAUACUUUUCGUUGGAGCCCUUCUGAAUGUCUGUUUGGGCUCAAAUUUGACAGUCAGGAUCAGUUUAACUUAAUAAGAACAAAGAAAUUUUAAUCUUUCAGUUCCGACCAAUUUUUGUCCCCGAAAGCUCUACCGAACUAAAAUCUCUAGCAGAUAGCAGUCAGAUUUUAUUUUUCAUUUUUCAGGUAUCAGAAUGACAUGAAACUUUAAAUCUAACCUCAUAAAAAUAAUUCUGACAUAUUUUUCAGUUUUCAUAAUUUUCUGACACUGUGCAUUUUCUGCUAAUUUAUCUGCCCCGUUUUUCACAGAAAAUUCUAAAUCUCCUGUUUUUAUUUCGAUUUCAGUAUAAGUCAUUUCCGACUUAUACUUUACUUUUUUAAGUCCAAUAAAAAUAGUAUCUUACACCAUUUUUAUUUACACUUAAUUUUGUAUUAAAAUCUGGUACGUUACAUUCUCCCCUCCUUAAAAGAGUUUCGUCUUUGAAACUUCAAUCACACCUCAACUCGACC
rnacentral:lncRNA from 1 species